rnacentral:tRNA from 1 species
AGAAACUUAGGUUAACAAAACCAGGGACCUUCAAAGCCCCAGAUAGGACAAGUUCCUAGUUUCUG